rnacentral:sRNA from 13 species
CUAUGACGAGGCUGUUCUGGGGUUCGACAAGGCCUCUGACGAAAAGGCUAGUAGAAGCAGCCGGCUGUUGCGACGAAGCAACAAACAAAAUCAUGUCAAAAAUGGCCAACGACGAAU